rnacentral:rRNA from 1 species
AUACGUAGGGGGCAAGCGUUAUCCGGAUUUACUGGGUGUAAAGGGAGCGUUAGGCGGCAAGGCAAGUCUGAUGUGAAAGCCCGGGGCUCAACCCCGGUACUGCAUUGGAAACUGUCGUGCUAGAGUGUCGGAGGGGUAAGCGGAAUUCCUAGUGUAGCGGUGAAAUGCGUAGAUAUUAGGAGGAACACCAGUGGCGAAGGCGGCUUACUGGACGAUAACUGACGCUGAGGCUCGAAAGCGUGGGGAGC